CGUUCUAUCAGCUAGUUGGUAGGGUAAUGGCCUACCAAGGCUACGACGGAUAGCUGGUCUGAGAGGACGAUCAGCCACACUGGGACUGAGACACGGCCCAGACUCCUACGGGAGGCUGCAGCAGGGAAUAUUGCGCAAUGAGCGAAAGCUUGACGCAGCGACACCGCGUGUGGGAUGACGGAUCUAGGUUUGUAAACCACUUUCAGGAGGGAAGAAAAUGACGGUACCUCCACAAGAAGCCCCGG
rnacentral:rRNA from 1 species